rnacentral:rRNA from 1 species
UACGGAGGGUGCGAGCGUUGUCCGGAAUCACUGGGCGUAAAGGGCGCGUAGGCGGCGUCGCGAGUCAACGGUGAAAGCUCAGGGCUCAACCCUGAGUCGGCCGUCGAUACUGCGAGGCUUGAGCACUGUAGAGGCAGGUGGAAUUCCGGGUGUAGCGGUGGAAUGCGUAGAGAUCCGGAAGAACACCGGUGGCGAAGGCGGCCCGCUGGGCAACUGCUGACACUGAGGCGCGACAGCGUGGGGAGCAAACAGG